AAAACCCAUUUCUCUUCAUCCGAAAGGGGGAGACAUUCGGGAGAAUUGGAGAAUUUAUCACUAAGAGUACGAAAAUUAUCGAAAUAUUCUGGUUCUUUUCUGUCUGUAGCUAGAAAACAUUGGGGAUUUGAUUUUAAGGUUGGAAUUUUGUUGAAAUUUGAGAGAGAAAAAUCUGGAAGAGUGUUGGGAGUUAGAAAUUUGGUUGGACGAUUGAGCGAAAAAUUGAAGAGAGGGAAAGAGUCGCGCAACUCAGGAGACUGAAGUCACGAUCCUGUUCCCUUUGCUCGUCGGGUCGUUUUCAAUACAGCUUUGAGCUCAUUUGGUGGUGGAAGCUCGUUACCUCACUCGUCGUUGCCGUUUGCUGCAUAAAAAGGGGUGAGAAUCGACCCUUAUUUUGUUUAUGACUCGUUUUUUUCGCUCGAUUGUUGCUUGUAUGUGGUUGGCUGACAUUUGGUUGUGACUCGAAGUCUGUCAUUGCGUAUUGCCUUUCUUCUAUAGUUUUGCUGUUAGUUUGGUUGUAGUCCGAGUCGACGUUUUCCAGUUUUGGGAGUAUGGGGUGCAAAUUUUGUAUAGUCUGCGUCUGAAAUGUCUUCGAUAAACAGUUGCAUUUCUCCCUUUGAUCGUAAUCGUCUUCUCAAGUUUUCCUCGUCUUUUCAACUUAGCAUGUUGUUUCGAUCGCGAAGUCGCUACCUUUGAUUGUGUUGUUGUUGUUGUUCUCGCUUUUCGUUUCAUGGCUGCUGAAGGAGUCUGUUCAACUUUUCCAAAUGUGAUGUAUUCUUGUGUGUUUGUUGAAAUGCGAAUGAGGUUCUUUCUCAUCUCCCAAUAGUUUGUGAUAGUCGAAUUUAUUUCGGAAUGUUUUAAGGUUGAGUUUUAGUUCAUUUUUUUCCAGCUAAAGGCAUGGUUGUUCAUGGCGGUGUUCUCCGUUAGAAAAUUUCAUGAACGCACAGUCCUUCCAUAUGCUUCUCUCUUUGCAUUCCACAUGUAUGUUUUGUGUUUAUGUGUGAUACGGUAAUUUGGAAAUAAGUAUUUUUCGUAUUUAGCAUCAUCAUGUCUUGCCA
rnacentral:misc_RNA from 1 species